CUCAGAACUUCUAUUGGACUUAGAGGAAAGAUAUUUGUCAUGACAAGCUGAUGAUUCUAAAAGAGCCACACCACUGUCCAAGAAGUGGAAAUGGGAGCACUUCAAUGAGGACCCAAAGGACUUGUGUUCUGUGUGAAUUCUAUCAAGCAGCAUAGAUAGAAGGGAAUUGAGAAUUUGGCAGUGAAAAGAUGAAGUAGAUGACAUAUCUUUUCCAUUGCUGUAGAAUGUACUAAUUAGAUCCUAGAAGCUUCUGCAUCUGAGAUACUUCUUUGAUUUCUUUGAUCCAGCAGAGGCUCUGAGUUUCCUACGUAUGUCUGGAGCCUUCCUAAUCACUAUCAUCUUCAACUUCAGUGUCUUCUGUACUGCCAUACUCAAGUAUAUUCAUUUUUUGGAGCCACCAAUUUUUUUUUAUGAUGCUGUGAUGGUAUCUUUGCUGUCUUAGGAUGAAGCCUGCAACUACAAUGCUUUCCUUUAUCUUCCAUGCCAAGCCAGAGACACAGGCAGAGGGAGAAGCAGGCUCCAUGCACCGGGAGCCCCACGUGGGAUCCGAUCCCAGGUCUCCAGGAUCGCGCUCUGGGCCAAAGGCAGGCACCAAACCGCUGCGCCACCCAGGGAUCCGUAUGCCAAGCCAUUGUAAUCCAGUUUCUGGAUUUGACUUGAGCUUUUUAAUUGGUGCUCUCAAUAACUCAUCCCAUUCUUUUAACACUCUCACUUUCUCUAAGAUAAAUGAAUAGAAGUUAUUUUUAAUCUAGAUCUCUCUACUUUGCAUUGCUGGUGAAUUUUUCUCUAUGUGACAGUUUCAACUGAAAUGUUUUCUGUAAAAGGGUAUAAUUUUUAGUCAGUAUAAAAAUUAUCUUUUGCUUUCUACUCCAUCCUUUAUUUUUCUUUUGAAAUGCAACUUAUUUGAAAUUUCAACACUUUUGUAUACUUUUUGCUAAACAAUGGUAGGGAAGAGUACAUGCUUCAUAUUCUCUGUAGUUCUUACUCAUAAUUUUAUAGAAGGAAUAAAAUUAUAAUUUAAGAAGAAAAUGCCA
rnacentral:lncRNA from 1 species